CACAUCAUGGGCGUCCACAGAGGGGGGCAAGAGGGGUCAGUGCCCCCCCCUGGGACCAGCAGACUGACCAUCUGUUUAUUCGGGCAUUUUGUAAUGUGGGCCGCUCCUGAUCUAUAAUGUUCAUUUCAAACUGUGGGCUCUAGGACCGCUCCUCCGUCCCAGCUCCCACUGUGGCUCCGCCCCUUCCACUCGUCUCCGUUCUCAUGCUGUGCUGUGUGCAGGCCUGCCUGCCUGCCAUCAGGGGGGAACAAGGAAGAAAGUUUUGGGCCAGGCAGGAUUUAGGCUCAAAGGGGGAUUAGCCAGCCCCCCUUACGAGCGUGGACAUCACUGAUGCCGAAGAUGGAAGUACAGGAACUGAUGUGUGAAAAGAAGAUCUGCAAAGAUUGAGGUCAACCACGGAUCAACAAGAUGUUCAGCAGGAUGUGGCCCUACACUACAGAGACUCUCAUAUCAAUAGGAUUGUCCAUUUAAGUUAUACAGGAGCAGUGACCAGCUUGAGGCCUCUGAGGAAGCUGAUUGGACCAGCGAAACGCGUCAGGCAGUGGGGACGGAAUGGCAGUUUGCAAGGGAACAGCCACGAGGGAGAAGGGGAAGCCAGCUCUUCAACUCCCAUUACGGAAAAACUGGGCAACCUGCGCAAAGCAGCCUUUUUACUUUGGAUAUGUGUAUAAAGGACAUUGAAAAUGUGAGUGAACCUUUUUAAAAUAAAUUUUAUAUGUUUUUGUAAAGCAAUAUUACACGAUACAAGUCUUUUUUAUAUAUAUAUAUGGGAGUGGACAAGAAGCAACGGAGAACGGAGCGUGGACACCAUUACGGGCAAACUAACAAUCAGGGUCUUUUAGGUAGGCAUUGCUACAGGUUAUCGGUGGAAGGAUUCACACUGGGAAAACUUAAAGGGCACA